GUAGGGCGUGUGGCGUCACUUCCGGCUUCGUUCUGUCUGCUUGCCCAGAGCACGAGCUGUGAGGGGAUUCACUUGUGUGCGGAACUCCUCGGAACCAUGGCGUCCCUUUCCCUUGCACCUGUUAACAUCUUCAAGGCAGGAGCUGAUGAAGAGAGAGCAGAGACAGCUCGUCUGACUUCUUUUAUUGGUGCCAUCGCCAUUGGAGACUUGGUAAAGAGCACCUUGGGACCCAAAGGCAUGGACAAAAUUCUUCUAAGCAGUGGACGAGAUGCCUCUCUUAUGGUAACUAAUGAUGGUGCCACUAUUCUAAAAAACAUUGGUGUUGACAAUCCAGCAGCUAAAGUUUUAGUUGAUAUGUCAAGGGUUCAAGAUGAUGAAGUUGGUGAUGGCACUACUUCUGUUACUGUUUUAGCAGCAGAAUUAUUAAGGGUAAGAGCAACUAAGCAACUCUUUUUUCCUACUGUGUUUUUGAGUAUCAGAGGUAAUCAAGUCCUUACUUCCUCUAUCUUUACUAUUGAGGAGUGCUUAAUAAUUUUCUAUUUAUAACUUGUUUUAUAACUUUAUUAAUAGGAAGCAGAAUCUUUAAUUGCAAA
rnacentral:sRNA from 1 species